rnacentral:rRNA from 1 species
CUUGGUCAUUUAGAGGAAGUAAAAGUCGUAACAAGGUUUCCGUAGGUGAACCUGCGGAAGGAUCAUUCAUAAUAAGUGUUUUAUGGCACUUUUUAAAAUCCAUAUCCACCUUGUGUGCAAUGUUGAAAAUCGCCUUUCGAGGUGGUUUUUUUUCUUAAUAUCAACCAAUCUUAAUUAAUUUGUCUUAAUACCUUGAAUUUACUUAAUUCAAAAUACAACUUUCAACAACGGAUCUCUUGGCUCUCGCAUCGAUGAAGAACGCAGCGAAAUGCGAUACGUAAUGUGAAUUGCAGAAUUCAGUGAAUCAUCGAAUCUUUGAACGCACAUUGCGCUCUCUGGUAUUCCGGAGAGCAUGCUUGUUUGAGUAUCAGUAAACACCUCAACUCCUUUAUUGUAGUUGGACUUGAGCUAUCCCAACAGGACUUUUGUUCCUGGCGGGAGGCUUGAAAUGCAGGUGCAGCUGGACUUUCUUCUGAGCUAUAAGCAUAUUUAUUUAAUCCCUUAACACGGAUUAUUACUUUUUUGCUGCAGCUAACAUAAAGGUUGAAUUUCCAUUGAGCUGACUGAUGCAGGAAUUUGGCAAGGAAUUUUUUUAAUGACUUGUUAAACUCGAUCUCAAAUCAAGUAAGACUACCCGCUGAACUUAAGCAUAUCAAUAAGCGGAGGA